UACGUAGGGUGCGAGCGUUGUCCGGAAUUACUGGGCGUAAAGAGUUCGUAGGCGGUUUGUCGCGUCGUUCGUGAAAACUUGGGGCUUAACUCCAAGCGUGCGGGCGAUACGGGCAGACUUGAGUACUACAGGGGAGACUGGAAUUCCUGGUGUAGCGGUGAAAUGCGCAGAUAUCAGGAGGAACACCGGUGGCGAAGGCGGGUCUCUGGGCCGGUACCGACGCUGAGGAGCGAAAGCGUGGGGAGCGAACAGG
rnacentral:rRNA from 1 species